UCCUGGUGACGAGUGCCGCGUUCGCUCCCUCAGUCCACUCCGCCAGCCCUCCACCGCGGCGCCCCGCCAGCCCGCCCCUCUCCUGUGCCAGGAACUGACAGGCACCAUGCCCCACCAAUACCCAGCACUCACCCCGGAGCAGAAGAAGCGCUCACCGGAUUGUGGCUCCGGGCAAGGGCAUCCUGGCUGCAGAUGAGUCCACCGGGAGCAUCGCCAAGCGACUGCAGUCCAUUGGUACCGAGAACACGGACGAGAACCGGCGCUUUUACCGCCAACUGCUGCUGACCGCCGACGACUGCGUGAAUCCCUGCAUCGGGGGCGUCAUCCUCUUCCACGAGACGCUCUACCAGAAGGCCGAUGAUGGGCGUCCCUUCCCCCAAGUUAUCAAAGCCAAGGGCGGCGUCGUGGGCAUCAAGGUAGACAAAGGUGUGGUACCCCUGGCAGGAACAAAUGGCGAGACAACCACCCAAGGGCUGGAUGGGCUGUCGGAACGCUGUGCCCAGUAUAAGAAGGACGGAGCUGACUUUGCCAAGUGGCGUUGUGUGCUGAAGAUUGGGGAACACACCCCUUCUUCCCUCGCCAUCAUGGAAAACGCCAACGUCCUGGCCCGUUAUGCCAGCAUCUGCCAGCAGAAUGGCAUUGUGCCCAUCGUGGAGCCGGAGAUCCUUCCUGAUGGCGACCAUGACUUGAAACGCUGUCAGUAUGUAACCGAGAAGGUGCUGGCUGCUGUCUACAAGGCUCUGAGUGACCAUCACAUCUACCUGGAAGGCACCUUGCUGAAGCCCAAUAUGGUAACCCCAGGCCACGCCUGCACCCAGAAAUAUUCUCACGAGGAGAUUGCCAUGGCAACUGUCACGGCGCUGCGCCGCACAGUGCCCCCUGCUGUCCCUGGGCUCACCUUCCUAUCCGGAGGCGUCCAUCAACCUCAAUGCCAUCAACAAGUGCCCCCUGCUGAAGCCGUGGGCCCUGACCUUCUCUUAUGGCCGAGCCCUGCAGGCCUCUGCCCUGAAGGCCUGGGGUGGAAAGAAGGAGAACCUGAAGGCUGCCCAGGAAGAAUAUGUCAAGCGAGCCCUGGCCAACAGCCUUGCCUGCCAAGGAAAGUACACCCCAAGUGGUAAGGCAGGGGCUGCAGCCCCCGAGUCCCUCUUCAUCUCUAACCACGCCUACUAAGCCGAUGUGUUCUAAGGCUGCCCCCUCAACACUCCAGGCCCCGUCCCCUCCCACGCUCACUCUUGAAGAGAGGGGGCUUCAUCUGGGGCUCCAGGCUGCUCUUUCCCGUCACUCUUGCCUCCUUGUGACAUUGGUGCCUGGUGUUGUCUCUGUACGCUAACUCCACCGUUUCCAGCCUACUGCCAAUAAACAGCUAUUUAAGGGGG